GCCUUCUCCAAAGCCACAUCCUAGUAUCAGAAGGCCAGGCGAGACUGCAACACUGCUCAUCACCCCGCGGCGUGAUCCCUGCUCUUAGGUGCUGGGCAGAGGGGAAGGGUGGUCAGGGUGAGGAUGGUGAGGGAGGGCUGGUGAGGGGCUCAGAGGAAUACUUGGAACAACAGCAGUGUUAUUGUAGUGUGGCAGUUUCUUUUAUACAUAGGUGAGAGUUUUUAAAGUGUAAGGGAAAAAUUAAUUUUUUAAAAAACACCAUGCUUGGAGGGUGGGGGUAGAAAUAGACACAAUAUUAUUUCUAAGGAAUCGGGUUUUCAUUUACUCUGGACUGGUGAAAAUAUUUUUUAAAGCCAGUGCUCUAAGACCUCAGCUUUUAUCUCAGAACCCCAUGGGUUCCAGACCAAGAGUACAGGAAAUCAAAUUGUUGUCCUGUCUGUCUAUAGCUUGGAACAGGGAGCUUUGAUUACUGACUCCGGUUCCACACACUGUAAGAUCAAAAAACCAUCUCCACAUUUGAAAGAGAUGUAAGGUGUAUUCAUAGGGAUGGUGGCUCAACAAAUCAAGCAAACUGGAAUCAAGGGGAGGGGGAAGGGAAUGAAAUGGAAAGGGAGGCUGAUUCCCUUCCCCUGACUUACCACUAAUUUACUAGGCUACCUACUUUCAUGAGUAACCUCUCACAGCUACCCAGCACAUGCCACAAUCCUAUGCUCUUGCCUUCUUUUAUCUGCACUGUGUGAAGGGACUCUUUUAAAUAAAUGAGCAAGUGUCCUAAGCUAUGUCAUCCAAAGAUUGUCCUUUCCAUUCUCAAAUCCUGUGACUGGGAUCACUCAACAGCACUGUGAUGUAUUAUUUUCAAUGAGGUGCCUUUCUUAACUGACCAAAUGCUGCCUUGUUUGGCCCCUAAAUCAAUAAAAUAUGUUAAAAUU
rnacentral:lncRNA from 1 species